rnacentral:rRNA from 1 species
UACAGAGGUCUCAAGCGUUGUUCGGAUUCAUUGGGCGUAAAGGGUGCGUAGGCGGCGCGGUAAGUCGGGUGUGAAAUCUCGGGGCUUAACUCCGAAACUGCAUUCGAUACUGCCGUGCUUGAGGACUGGAGAGGAGACUGGAAUUUACGGUGUAGCGGUGAAAUGCGUAGAUAUUGGGAGGAACACCAGUGGCGAAGGCGGUCCCCUGGGCCGGAACUGACGCUGAGGCGCGAAAGCGUGGGUAGCAAACGGG